rnacentral:misc_RNA from 1 species
AGCACUGGGCGGCGAUGGCGAGCGGGACGGCGGGGAAGAGGACGGCGAGCUUGGUGGCGAGGAAGACCUCCUGGAGGUUGGCGAGCAGCGGGCGGAGCGGCGCCACGGGGACCUUCCGCACCAGCGCGGCGUCCGACUUCUUCCGCAGCGACGACGACGACAUGUUGUGCGCCGUCCUGCUCCGCCCGUGCGGGUGCCGCGCCG